ensembl:lncRNA
UGGGCGCACAGACUCACUGGGCUGUAUGGGCUUAUAAGACUUUUGUUUUGGAGUGUAUGAUACAAACUUUAAAUAUGGGAAUACGAGGAAAUGCUAUUGAAAGUAAUGGUCACAGGCAAAUUUGCAAGUAUUUGCAGGGCUUUCUAUUGUAGUUGCAAUUCAUGUUAUUACCACUAGGUGGCAGCUCUUACCAUUGGUUGUUAGUGUUCAUAACCCCCCCCCCCCCCCCCCCCCCUUACAUUUUCAGAAUUGACAGGUUUGUUUAUAACAUUACCUCCAUUUGUGAAAGAAAAUUGAAUAAUAAUGGAUCGAUGUGCUUUACCUUGGGAUUCAUGCACAGGUGCUACUUUGUAGGACACCAGGAUGAAAGCGCAUGUGUCAAGAUGUUUCUUCUUAGUCUCAGUGAGAACAGCAGCGUGCGAGCCUGUGCCAAAGGAAGUGUUUCCUGAAUUGUCAUUUUUCCCCGGUCCUUCGCCCUCCGUACCUGUAUUAGUGGGAGUCUGCCCUCCUCCUGCCCCCGAACGGUCUGAAGAGGUCCAUCGAACGCAGGUCACCGCGGAUCUGAUCCUUAAUUAUUUCUCCUUGCUGUAAGCUGUCCGCAUGAUGAAACCCAAGAACUGUGUGUGUGUGUGUGUGUGUCUGUGUGUGUGUGUGUGUAUGUGUGUUAAACAUCUUAUUAAACUUCCCACCAUUGAGCUGUUUUGUGGCCCAAACACACGUUUCUUCUCAGAAAAUUAGCCUUUUUCUUUUGAUCAAUAACAAAUGCAAACACUUAAAAUGUACACUUAGAAUUUCUGCAAACAAUAUGUAAAAUAUUCAGUUAAGAAAAUUAGAAUAAACCUACAAUUCUAUUUCACCAAACGGUGGUUCUAGUCUAGACAUUUAGCUUCCUUUAUUAUCCACACGAUAUGAGUGAAACAGCUGAUGUUGGGAAGGAUCCUUAUCCAAAUCCAAAAUGAGUGACACCUUUUAGUAAAAUCUAUUCCAUGGCUUCCUCUCUAAACCAUGAAAUGGAUUUUUAGCUUGCUUCUCAUUUUGUUUUCAAAUACCUCCAAAGCCUUGCUCCAGAUUACAUUGCCAACAUCCGUACAGCUAUAGUCCAAUUUGAGAUUGUGCACAUCUCUUUCAGCGUUUAAAAGAGACUUGAUGUGCUUUCCUGUAUGACAUUAAACAUAAUGUUCAUGCAGCUCUGUCCUCACAAUUUAAUCAUGGAGGGCUAAAAUAAAAAGGAAGCAUUGUAUUCCUUACUGGUGUCAACUUGUACUUCUUCAGGAUGUUGUGAGGAAAUCAAUAUUUAAAUGAACAAUGAAUAACAGAAAUGAGUCAGGAGGACUCUACGUAGUUUGCUUCAAUGUAACAUUAAGAAAUGUUGGUUUUGAAUACAUACGUGUUAAUUCUUCAUGAUAUCAAGUGGAGUCUUUGACUUAUCGCUGGACCUCCUUGGACAUAAUUAAGUCCUCUGAUGUAGACCAACACAAGCACAUAAAUAAAUAAUGUAAAUGUCGACUAAAGGGCACUUUGAAGAGUCACCUCAUUACACUCGGAAAUCUAAGCAAGCACUCUGUACCGGCACUGUGGCGGUGACUUCUUCUAUGUAGUUCAUAAUGGCAUUUUAGAUCAGUGUAGGAUCCUCAAAAAGAUGUGAUAUUAAUACCUGAAGACACGGGGAAAUAAACUGAUGACUUUAUGUAUUUAUUUAAUCCAUUGUGCACAGCCAUCGAUAUGCAACAUAUGCUCAAAGAACUUGUUUUUAUGGACAUUUCAGGACCCAUUCUUGUUGACUCUGCUAUUUGAUCUCUAACGCCUCCUGUAGUUUUAAAUAUUUAGUACACUGUUACUUCCUUGUCACUUGCUGACUUAAAGAAGCCAUUAUUAGGUCAGUCAAGAGCACUCUGACCACACCCGCCCUUUGAAAAUGCUGCACUGCAGAGUGUCCAAAUUAAGUUUUAUUAUUGACUUGCCAUCAUCGAGAACAAUAAGUGGGACCAACCCUCGGGGAAAAACCUGAUAAGGCCGUUUCUACCCUCUUCAGAGUAGGCCUGUUUGAUGGCCAGCUAAACUG